AUUAUGGGUUUCUCAUGACAACAUCAAACAUGGUCUCUGGCGACCUCCCUUCUUCUCUUCCGUUCCGUCGUUUUUCCUCGAACACUUGGUAUCUCUCACGCUCCACAAACAAAACUCAUCUUCUCUACCUCCACCGCCACCGCCACCUCCGUCUUCUUAUCUUCUCCGACUGUCAGCAACUCCAUCCGAAGCCCUAGUGCAGAAAAUAGGAAAAUCUAUUUGCCAUCCCCGCGCGCCUUCAAAUGCCCAGGAAACUGAAAAGAUUGCUUCUUUGUCAAGAUUAAGCUUGUUUCUGGAGACCCUUUUUGAAAUUGUAGUGAAAAAAGAUCACAUAAGGAGCUUUGGAGUACUUGCUGUGUAUGGUGAGGAGGGUGGGAUUCCAUAUAAGAAAAGUUCUUGGUUGACACUCUUUAAUGUGGAAGUUCCCACGACUAAAGUUUCAUAAAGUAAAGGCAAGUUCUUGGAUGCAAAUCAGGCUUUAGAAGUUGCUAGAAAUGAUCUAUACUAUGAUUGGAGAACUAGGCAAGAUGUACUUGCUCUAAUGCUCCUACACGAAAGUCCUCAGGGUGCUGCACAUUCUUUUCUCUCAUGCAGCAUAUGGGCUGUGAACUAGAUAGAGCUUCAUACAAUAUCUUGGUGGAUGCCUACGGAAGAGUUGUUCUUAAUGAAGGUAUUCUUUUCUCAAUGUUUAAAAGUUGUGUCUCUCGCAUUUAUUGAACAAAAUAGUUUAAGCUAAUCUGGACAACAUGAUAAUUGCAACUUAUGAAUGCAUAUUCAUAUAACGCCCUAAAUAAGGGAAGUUUUCAAUAUGAAAUUGAUGCCAUUGUAAUAUAAGUAUAACAUGAUUGAAAAUGAAGUUUCCAAUCAUGGACUUGCGCCUCUUGAGGUUGACGACAUGCCCAAACAAUCUCAAGCGACCUCUCAUUUGAAACUCAAUGUGUGCUACUUGAAAUGCUGGAUCUAGAAUUGGAGCUUUCACUAAUAUGAUUCCUAGUAACUUCAUGUGUAUAGGUUGCCUAAGAAACUAAAUGUCUUAAUGUUUGCAUUCGGUUCUCUUAGUCUUUGUAUAAAUUGCCUAAGGAACAUAAUGUUUUGGACAUCAUUGUGGAUCAGAAGUUCUUCUUCUGUAUUUCAAUCAUUUGUCUCUAUUUCUGUCAGUCCCUCCCUUGUGUAACUAAUUUCCCUUCACAAGAGAACUCGCAAUCUCUGGAAUCAGUGCGCCUUGGAAAAUAUGCAGAGGUGACAACACUACUGUUUGCAUUGAUUUUUUUUUGUUAUAACCAUUAUUUCUUUGAUAAUCUCAUAGCAACUUCCUAUUGCAGUGGUUUAAUGUUGUCUUCUCGACUGAUAUAUCCGAAAAGUGUGAGAAUGUUUUUAGUCGACUACCAGAAAAGCAUAUAUGCACAGUAUGCCUUUUUCUAUUAUUACAUUCUCCAUUGCUUUAUCUUGGACUUGCUGGUGUAUCUUCUAGCUUUUGUUUAGAAUUAUUGGAACAAUUAGCGUCACUUGUGAUUAUCUAUCAAUUCUACAAUAUUGUUAGUACGUCCAAUAUUUUUCUUUUUCAUCGGUUUCUUCUUCUUUUUCUGUUACCAAGAUUGAAAUAUGAUACUCGGUACUAAUCUGAUACUUUUUUGUUCAUUUACUGCAACAGACUAUGUUGCUGCUCAGCGGCGUAGGUGAUGCAUGUAUACUGAUUAUAUCCUAAAGGUAAUCAGCAGAAUUGGUGUGAGAAUUAUUUCAUGUCUACAAUUUUCCAACAUAAAGGUAAGAUCAUUCCAGUUGUGUGACCACUGAAUAUAGGGGAAACAGUGAUGAAAAUUUGAAGGAUAUUUUUGCAGAUUAACUUCACUCUCCACAUAUUGAAUUGUUUGCCACCAUAUUUUACUGCACAUCCAUUUUUCCACGGGUUCCAACAUAUAACAAUGGGAAGGGCCUGAUUCAUGAGCUUGUGAGCCUCAUUUUUAUAUUGCAUAUUACCCCACUACAUAAAGAGAUUUCUUAGUAUUGAGCAUAUUAAAUACAUGAUUUAUUUCACUAACUUGUAUUUAUAUUUUGAAUGUGCAGGAAAAUGCCGGUAAUUGAAUUUGAAUAGUGGCUAGAAGUAAACUCGAUCCAUUCUAGUGAACAAUGAAGAGUUUUUGUACAAUUAUCAUAUUUGUUUGUAUGCAUUUGGUUUUGUGGAAUUUAUUGAUAGUAUAGAUCUUUAAGAAAUUGCUUUCUAAGUAUUGGUUGUACAAGACAUGUUUCUCGAAGUUUAUUUUAAAUAUAUAGU